CACAAUAAAUUUGCCCUUUCACCUGUUAAUUCACAGAAAUAUAAAUGGCUCCCAAUCCUUUUCUUAGGGGUGCAAUGUUAAUUACAAAAUGCACAUGCAAGUGAUAUUCACAGAAGUGUGUUUGUCAAGGGCUCUUUUAUCCCAACAGAUAUGUAAAUCGAGGCACCAUUUCCCCUUUAAAGGAGCCCCAUGGUUUCUCUCUUCAGACAACACCCAGGAACACAAACCUUGUGCAAUUUUCUCUCUUAUCUCUUGUUCAAUUCCCUCCAUUCAUUCAGUGAAAAUGUGGCUCAACCUUGUGUCCUUACUAGUAGUCCUCAAAGGAGUCCAGUCUCAAGUUCCAGUUGGUGGAGUCUGGAGGGGAUGGUGAGAAGACCUGGAGGGUCCCUCCGUCUCUCCUGCCAAGCCUCUGGAUUUGAUUUCAGCAGCUAUUGGAUGGGCUGGGUGAGACAGGAUCCUGGAAAAGGCCUGGAAUGGGUGGCAUACAUAAGUACUGGUUCUAGUACUAUUCGCUACUCAGACAAAGUGAAGGGCCGCUUCACCAUCUCCAGGGACAAUGCCAAAAGCCAGCUGUAUCUGCAGAUGAACAGCCUCAAAGCUGAAGACACAGCAAUCUAUUACUGUGCG